AUCGCUGCGAGAAACGUGUAUUUAAUGACCUGAAAUUAUUUAAAUGAUCAAGCCAUUUAUUAUAAUACUGUAAUAACAGAGUGGCCAGGUUGACAAAGCUAAAAUCUGAUGAACCUAACCUGCUAGGAUAUUUCAAUAGUCAAACAUCAGUUUCAGCAUUUAUUCAGCAUUAUUUAAUGUUGAGUUAAUACGUAUUUUUAAUAUCCAUGACAACUACAGCUGGUCAGGGAUUUGUUAGGGAAAAGGUUUAGCACCCCAU